rnacentral:rRNA from 1 species
CAGCAGCCGCGGGAAUACGUAGGGUGCAAGCGUUAAUCGGAAUUACUGGGCGUAAAGCGUGCGCAGGCGGUUAUAUAAGACAGAUGUGAAAUCCCCGGGCUCAACCUGGGACCUGCAUUUGUGACUGUAUAGCUAGAGUACGGUAGAGGGGGAUGGAAUUCCGCGUGUAGCAGUGAAAUGCGUAGAUAUGCGGAGGAACACCGAUGGCGAAGGCAAUCCCCUGGACCUGUACUGACGCUCAUGCACGAAAGCGUGGGGAGCAAACAGGAUUAGAGACCCCAGUAGUCCCUGUCUCUUAUAA